CGCCUUGCCAGCCCGCUCAGAACUCAAAGGAAUUGACGGGGGCCCGCACAAGCAGCGGAGCGUGUGGUUUAAUUCGAUGAUACGCGAAGAACCUCACCCAGGUUUGACAUGCACGUGGUACUGAUCCGAAAGGUGAUGGACCCUUCGGGGAGCGUGCACAGGUGUUGCAUGGCCGUCGUCAGCUCGUGCCGUGAGGUGUUGGGUUAAGUCCCGCAACGAGCGCAACCCCUGUCGCCAGUUGUAUUUUUCUGGCGAGACUGCCGAGAAAACCUCGGAGGAAGGAGGGGAUGAUGUCAGGUCAGCAUGGCCCUUACGCCUGGGGCUACACACACGCUACAAUGGGCAGUACAACGGGCAGCCAAGCCGCGAGGUGGAGCUAAUCCCACAAAGCCAUCCUCAGUUCGGAUUGCAGGCUGAAACUCGCCUGCAUGAAGCCGGAGUUGCUAGUAACCGCAGGUCAGCACUACUGCGGUGAAUACGUUCCCGGGCCUU
rnacentral:rRNA from 1 species